rnacentral:rRNA from 1 species
GCGUGAGUGAUGAAGGCCUUCGGGUUGUAAAGCUCUUUUGGCGGGGACGAUGAUGACGGUACCCGCAGAAUAAGCUCCGGCUAACUUCGUGCCAGCAGCCGCGGUAAUACGAAGGGAGCUAGCGUUGUUCGGAAUUACUGGGCGUAAAGGGCGUGUAGGCGGUCCGGCAAGUCAGAUGUGAAAGCCCUGGGCUCAACCCGGGAAUUGCGUUUGAUACUGCCGGUCUAGAAUUCGGGAGAGGUUGGUGGAAUUCCCAGUGUAGAGGUGAAAUUCGU